CUUCCUUAAGACACCCAAACUUUCAUGCAUGCAGCAAUGCACGCCUCAUAAAUCAGCCAGAGCAGAGAAGGGUAAUAGUAUGUAUUUGGUAAUCACUCCAUGCUUGUAUUUCCAAUCUGUGGUGCUUGAAUUUUGAAUAGUUACAUGCUGUAAUUAGCAAUUCUGCUCACCAUUUUUAUUUCCCUUUCCUUUUUAGAUUAAUGACCUAACUCAGCAUUUUAAGGUACAGCCAACAAACUCUGGGCAGAGCUAGAGUAGCAUAAUGAAUCUCUCUGUCUCUCUUUCAGCAUACCAUCCUAAUAGCUGUGGCUCCUAAUUCAUGUUUCCUGUUUUUGUGUAUUACAGCUUAAUCAAAAUGUAAGUGGAAUAAAUAAUGUUGCCAGUUCUUACACUCUCUCUCACCAAUUCCAGGCAUUUUUACUACACUGUCUUUGUGAUUCUGAUGUUGUAAAACAAGUAUGUCGCUCUGGCAGUUCUCUUUAUCUCAAAAUCCAAAUAUUGCAGUUGUCUCCCCUGUUUUCUGGGCAAGGUCAAGCUGAUGGCAGAGAAUACCUGCUCAUUAACUCUGCAGUUUCUUUCACUGAUACUUUGAGGUGCACAUGGCAGUGCAUGUUAUUUUGUUUGCAGUAAGUGAGACUCCUGAGAAUCAGUCUGCCAGGGCCUGAGUUCAUAGGAUUCAUAAGGCAGAUGUGAGUUCGGAAAUGAGCAACUACUUUAACAGUGAGGAACUUGUAUUGCUCAUGGCUAUAUCUCAUAAGGAGCUACAAAAUGAUUCUCAUCCACUACUGACUGGGUCAUGACACAAUUAAUGUACUGCUUUAGAGACUGUCUUGUAAAUAUAUUUAUAACAGCAGCUUUGAGAUUAAUUUUAAUAUUUAUGCAGGAAUAGCCUGCGCAUUUUGGACUGUGUUUGUCCAAAUGCUAAGUGUCAGCCCUUACAGAAUGUGCAUUGGCUCUUGUUGGUGAUGAUAAUAUAGUGGCCCAUUUAUGCACAGGCUUAGGCACACUGAACAACUUUGUGGUCCUGCCUGUCAGACUGUUUAUUUUUGCUUAAGGCACAAGUCAUUGCUCUAUGCUAAAUUUACAUAAACUUUCUGAAGCAAAAGGGAACUGUUUAGCAGAGCGCCUGACUGGAGGCACUGAAUAAUGGAAAGAAGCCAUUGGGUAUAUGGGUGUAUCUGGCAAAUCCGUAACACGUUUCAAAUCAGACUCUGCUUAGGCCUUGAGAUAGAAUUCUCUUAAAGGAGCAUAUGAAUUAGGCUGCAGUCUUGUAUCACCUUAACAGGGAAGAAGUCCCUUUGGACUCAGUGGGACUUCUUUUGAGUAGAAGUGUGUAAGUUUGCACUGUCAGAUACU